GAUCCCCUGCAUCAGCUCAUCCAGCUGUUCAGCAGAACAGCCCUAACAGAAAAAUGUAAACUGGAUGAGGAUCAUCUCUACAUGGCCUACGCAGACAUCAUGGCUAAGAGUUGCCAUGAUGAAGAGGAUGACGAUGGAGAAGUGAAGAGUUUUGAAG